UACGAAGGGGGCUAGCGUUGUUCGGAAUUACUGGGCGUAAAGCGCACGUAGGCGGGUAUUUAAGUCAGGGGUGAAAUCCCAGAGCUCAACUCUAGAACUGCCUUUGAUACUGGGUACCUAGAGUAUGGAAGAGGUGAGUGGAAUUCCGAGUGUAGAGGUGAAAUUCGUAGAUAUUCGAAGGAACACCAGUGGCGAAGGCGGCUCACUGGUCCAUUACUGACGCUGAGGUGCGAAAGCAUGGGGAGCGAACGGG
rnacentral:rRNA from 1 species